rnacentral:lncRNA from 1 species
UGGGUAUAGUAUUUAUGGAUUUAUUUGGUUUAUUUGAAUAUAAAAUAGCUAAAAUUUCACACUUGAUCUUUGGUAGGAGGUAGAAUGAACAUUUUUGUCUUCCUUUGUUAGUGUAAUUUCUGAUAUUUCACUCUAGUAGUUUGUUUCUACUAAUUUGUUCGUAAUUUAUAGAUUUUUAUGAAAUUGAUUAGUGUUGAGCCUUGGAGCAAUUAUUUGGUAAAGUGAUAAUUCUAUUCAAUUUAAAAUAUACAUAAUUCUAUUUCAAAAUGUGGAUUUAUGUAUUGGUAGUAAUUUUUGCCCUCAUAGUAAUGCAAAUCACAGUGAUCAAACCUUUUAAAGCUUAGAAAUAAAUAAUCUUACAUUUUUCGAAAUUCAUUAGAAGUAGAAUUCUAAUAUAUUUGUUUGUUGUUAUAUUGUUAAGUUAGUAGUAGGGACAGAGUUCGGGAGCUUCAAGCCCGAAAACCCCUUUUUUUCCUUUUUGUAAAAAUGGUUUUUUUUAUGUAUAACUUUUUUAUUUUUUAUUUUUUUUGUGUAUU